rnacentral:rRNA from 1 species
AAGCGGUGGAGCAUGUGGUUUAAUUCGAUGAUACGCGAGGAACUUACCUGGGCUCGAACGUAAGAUGACUGUAGGUGAAAGCUUACAUCUCUUCGGAGCAUUUUACGAGGUGCUGCAUGGUUGUCGUCAGCUCGUGCCGUGAGGUGUCGGUUAAGUCCCAUAACGAGCGCAACCCUACCUUUAGUUGCCAUCAGGUAAUGCUGGGGACUCUAAAGGAACUGCCUACGCAAGUAGUGAGGAAGGCGGGGAUGACGUCAAAUCAGCACGGCCCUUACGUCCAGGGCUACACACGUGCUACAAUGGCCGAUACAGAGGGCAGCUACCUGGUGACAGGAUGCAAAUCUCCAAAGUCGGUCUCAGUUCGGAUCGGAGUCUGCAACCCGACUCCGUGAAGUUGGAUUCGCUAGUAAUCGCGCAUCAGCCAUGGCGCGGUGAAUACGUUCCCGGGCCUU